rnacentral:rRNA from 1 species
GAUUAACGCUGGCGGCGUGCAUAACACAUGCAAGUCGAACGAUGAAACUUAAAUGAUUUCUUCGGAAUGAACUUAAGUGGAUUAGUGGCGGACGGGUGAGUAACGCGUGAGUAACCUGCCUUACACAAGGGGAUAGCCGUUGGAAACGACGAAUAAUACCCUAUGAAACUAUCACUUCGCAUGAAGCGAUAGUCAAAGUGUUAGCGGUGUAAGAUGGACUUGCGUCUGAUUAGCUAGUUGGUGAGAAAAAAGCCCACCAAGGCAACGAUCAGUAGCCGGCUUUGGGGAAUGGACGGGACCAUUGGGACUGAGACCAGGGCCAAACAUCUACGGGAGGGAGCAGGGGGGAAUUUUGCACAAUGGGGGAAACCCUGAGGCAGCGACGCCGCGUGAUUUAGAAGGCCUUCGGGUUGUAAAAAUCUUUUGUAUAGGAAGAAAAUGACAGUACUAUACGAAUAAGGUCCGGCUAAUUACGUG